UUACGGCCACAUCACGUUGAAAGACAGUUUCCCGUACGAUCACCGAAGUUAAGUCAUGUUGAACCUGCCAGUACUUAGAUGGGUGACCCCUUGGAAAUACCGGGU